rnacentral:rRNA from 1 species
AUUGAACGCUGGCGGCAUGCUUUACGCAUGCCAGUCGAACGGCAGCGCGGGCUUCGGCCUGGCGGCGAGUGGCGAACGGGUGAGUAAUACAUCGGAACGUGCCCAGUAGUGGGGGAUAGCUCGGCGAAAGCCGGAUUAAUACCGCAUACGACCUGAGGGUGAAAGCGGGGGAUCUUCGGACCUCGCGCUAUUGGAGCGGCCGAUGGCAGAUUAGCUAGUUGGUGGGGUAAAGGCCUACCAAGGCGACGAUCUGUAGCUGGUCUGAGAGGACGACCAGCCACACUGGGACUGAGACACGGCCCAGACUCCUACGGGAGGCAGCAGUGGGGAAUUUUGGACAAUGGGCGAAAGCCUGAUCCAGCAAUGCCGCGUGUGUGAUGAAGGCCUUCGGGUUGUAAAGCACUUUUGGCGGGAACGAAAAGGACUGUGCCAAUACCACGGUUCGAUGACGGUACCCGCAGAAUAAGCACCGGCUAACUACGUG